rnacentral:lncRNA from 1 species
GGUAAUACCUCUACAAUGUAGAGACACCAAAAAUAGUAAAGAAAAUAUUAUUUUCUCUCAUCCUAUUACUCUUAUUGUUGUCAUUUUCCCCUUUCUUCUAUCUUCCCUUUUCCCCUCUUUAUAUAGUUUAUAUUAUUAAUAUUUCGUAACAAAUUGAUAUAAUUCUAUUUCUUUUCAUUCAUGAGUCUUUUUUUGGCUCGUUUCCCCCACUACUAGUUCCUCUGGGCUCUGUUAAACAAAAAAGUAUUGAAGUUCUCUUAAUUUUCCCAAAAGUUGUUCCUCAUCAGAUAAUUCCCUCAAAUCGACAGCGGCGUACGGACCGACGCUGUAGAAAUGCAGUAAACGCCACAAAAACAGCGGUGAAUUUAGUCGAACUCGGAGUAACGAGUAAAUCACCGUAAAGUUUGUCUCCGGUGUGGAAAUGCCGAGUUCGUGUAGUAUCAGAGCUCUCUGGAUCCUCACCAAUCAAGACACCGUUGUUUUCUCCCGGUACUUCCCCUCUCCCUCUCCCUCUGUGUGCGUGUGUGCGUGUUUCGUUAAUUUUAAUCAUGGUGAUGAAAUUGCAGGAGAUUUCCGGUGGUGGAGAAGCGGUGGCGGGCGGCAUGUGAGAGAGAUAAGANNNN